rfam:Arabis alpina cultivar Pajares chromosome 7, whole genome shotgun sequence.
CAUCCCUGUGAUGACUGAUAAAGAUAAAAAUGUUAAAAGUAGUGACUGAUUAUCUUCUUGAUGAAAUCUUUUGAUCUGAGGGAUU